GGAGAGUAGGUUAUUGCCAGGGUUUUUAUUUUUAUACUUUAAACUUUGAUUUUAUUUUUAUGUUUUUUAAAUAUUGGUGUUUUUGAAUGUGUUGUUUAAAUAACAUAAAAAAUAAAAUAUAUAUAUUGACAUGCAUUAAACAAAGAUAUAUAUUAUUUUAUGUUGUAUAAAUAAAUUGGCAAAAUAGAGAUGGAAGAUAAAAAUAUGGUCAAAGUAAUAAGAGUCUAUGGUGAAUGCCUAGGAGCUUUAAGGCGAAGAAGGUCGUGGUAAGCUGCGAAAAGCUUGGGGGAGAAGCAAACAUUUAUUGAUCCCAAGAUUACCGAAUGGAGUAAUCC
rnacentral:misc_RNA from 1 species